UACGGGGGGGGCAAGCGUUGUUCGGAAUUACUGGGCGUAAAGGGCUGGUAGGCGGCCAACUAAGUCGGAUGUGAAAUCCCCAGGCUUAACCUGGGAACUGCAUCCGAUACUGGUCGGCUUGAAUCCGGGAGAGGGAUGCAGAAUUCCAGGUGUAGCGGUGAAAUGCGCAGAUAUCGGGAGGAACACCAAUGGCGAAGGCAGCUCGCUGGGACGUUACUGACGCUGAGACGCGAAAGCGUGGGGAGCAAACAGG
rnacentral:rRNA from 1 species